rnacentral:rRNA from 1 species
GACGAACGCUGGCGGCGUGCUUAACACAUGCAAGUCGCACGAAGUGGCGAACGGGUGAGUAACGCGUAAUCAACCUGCACUUCAGAGGGGGACAACAGUUGGAAACGACUGCUAAUACCGAAUACUGAAGGAGGGGAUUGCGUCUGAUUAGCUAGUUGGAGGGGUAACGGCCCACCAAGGUGAUGAAUAGUAGCCGGUCUGAGAGUAUGAACGGACACAGUGGUACUGAGACACGGCCCAGACUCCUACGGGAGGCAGCAGGUGGGAAUCUUCCGCAAUGGACGAAAGUCUGACGGAGCAACGCCGCGUGAGUGAUGACGGCCUUCGGGUUGUAAAGCUCUGUUAAUCGGGACGCGGUACCGGAAUAGAAAGCCACGGCUAACUACGUGCCAGCCGCCGCGGUAAUUC